rnacentral:rRNA from 1 species
UGAACGCUAGCUACAGGCUUAACACAUGCAAGUCGAGGGGCAGCAUGGUCUUAGCUUGCUAAGGCCGAUGGCGACCGGCGCACGGGUGAGUAACACGUAUCCAACCUGCCGUCUACUCUUGGACAGCCUUCUGAAAGGAAGAUUAAUACAAGAUGGCAUCAUGAGUCCGCAUGUUCACAUGAUUAAAGGUAUUCCGGUAGACGAUGGGGAUGCGUUCCAUUAGAUAGUAGGCGGGGUAACGGCCCACCUAGUCUUCGAUGGAUAGGGGUUCUGAGAGGAAGGUCCCCCACAUUGGAACUGAGACACGGUCCAAACUCCUACGGGAGGCAGCAGUGAGGAAUAUUGGUCAAUGGGCGAGAGCCUGAACCAGCCAAGUAGCGUGAAGGAUGACUGCCCUAUGGGUUGUAAACUUCUUUUAUAAAGGAAUAAAGUCGGGUAUGCAUACCCGUUUGCAUGUACUUUAUGAAUAAGGAUCGGCUAACUCCGUGCCAGCAGCCGCGGUAAUACGGAGGAUCCGAGCGUUAUCCGGAUUUAUUGGGUUUAAAGGGAGCGUAGAUGGAUGUUUAAGUCAGUUGUGAAAGUUUGCGGCUCAACCGUAAAAUUGCAGUUGAUACUGGAUAUCUUGAGUGCAGUUGAGGCAGGCGGAAUUCGUGGUGUAGCGGUGAAAUGCUUAGAUAUCACGAAGAACUCCGAUUGCGAAGGCAGCCUGCUAAGCUGCAACUGACAUUGAGGCUCGAAAGUGUGGGUAUCAAACAGGAUUAGAUACCCUGGUAGUCCACACGGUAAACGAUGAAUACUCGCUGUUUGCGAUAUACAGCAAGCGGCCAAGCGAAAGCGUUAAGUAUUCCACCUGGGGAGUACGCCGGCAACGGUGAAACUCAAAGGAAUUGACGGGGGCCCGCACAAGCGGAGGAACAUGUGGUUUAAUUCGAUGAUACGCGAGGAACCUUACCCGGGCUUAAAUUGCAGAUGAAUUACGGUGAAAGCCGUAAGCCGCAAGGCAUCUGUGAAGGUGCUGCAUGGUUGUCGUCAGCUCGUGCCGUGAGGUGUCGGCUUAAGUGCCAUAACGAGCGCAACCCUUGUUGUCAGUUACUAACAGGUCAUGCUGAGGACUCUGACAAGACUGCCAUCGUAAGAUGUGAGGAAGGUGGGGAUGACGUCAAAUCAGCACGGCCCUUACGUCCGGGGCUACACACGUGUUACAAUGGGGGGUACAGAGGGCCGCUACCACGCGAGUGGAUGCCAAUCCCCAAAACCUCUCUCAGUUCGGACUGGAGUCUGCAACCCGACUCCAAGAAGCUGGAUUCGCUAGUAAUCGCGCAUCGGCCACGGCGCGGUGAAUACGUUCCCGGGCCUUGUACACACCGCCCGUCAAGCCAUGGGAGCCGGGGGUACCUGAAGUGCGUAACCGCGAGGAGCGCCCUAGGGUAAAACUGGUGACUGG